rnacentral:lncRNA from 1 species
CGUACAUGUUCCGAAAUUUGGUAUUGUUUUAAAAUAAAACGAAAUAAGGAUAACCAUGCAUAUAUAUGAAUAUAAAAAAGAAGAUGUGGUAUGAUUGCCAAUGAGACAACUAUUCACAAAAGACAAAAUGACACAGACAUUAACAACUAUAGGUCACCGUACGGCCUGCAACAAUGAGCAAAGCCCAUACCGCAUAGUCAGCUAUAAAAGGCCCCGAUAAGACAAUGUAAAACAAUUAAAACGAGAAAACUAACGGCCUUAUUUAUGUAAAAAAAAUGAACGAAAAACAAAUAUGUAACACAUAAACAAACGACAACCACUGAAUUACAGGCUCCUGACUUGGGACAGGCACAUACAUACAUAAUGUGGUGGGGUUAAACAUGUUAGCAGGAUCCCAACCCUCCCCUAACCUGGGACAGUGGUACAUAUAUAUGAAGUAUAUUUAAAUCGAUUUUUAAUGACGUCAUCUGUUUUCCAACCAAUAACUAAAAGGUAUUACUUAAGUAAUAAAAGUGUAGAAUUUGUUUAUGAUAAAAGUAACUAUUCCAAACGCAAAAGAUACGACUCCUGCACAUUAAGAAAAAGCAAAUGUAAUGCUCUAUUUCAUUUUUAGACCUAACCAAGGGAGGCAACAAAUUAUUGUCAGUAGUAUUUUGACAGUGAUUUUAAUUAAGAUAAAAUUGGAGAACAUCUGUAGGGCAAUAAAUUAUUAACCAGUAGAAACUUAAGCAACAUACAAAGCCGUACUAUGUGACAAUUUACUACAUGUUUAAAUUUAAGCAACUAGCAAAC